GUAGGUGAACCUGCGGAAGGAUCAUUAAUUCAUCCACAACCUAAUACUUACCGUGAACCGUUCCCUUUCGCAUCAAGUAGUUGAAACAUCUCUGAAAUUCGAUAUGAGACGCACGGUUUACCUAUUUAUAGAUAAUGUAAUACUCCCGCGUGUUCUUAUAGGUCAGAGAUGAAUUGAGUCUCCAGCGAGAGCUGGCUAAGGUGUAACCGCGGUCGCAAUAGACUACUUGAUACGACUAAGUCUCGUUCGCUAUAGAAGGAUCAUUUCGAGAUCUAACUUACGUUCAAGCAAACCAUAACCUAUUUCACUAUUUUGCUAGUUGACUUGAUUUGUGAGGUGUGACCUGAUUAAUUUCUAGCGCUAAUCACACGUUUAUUUAUUUGAACGCUAAACAUACAACUCUUAGCAAUGGAUAUCUUGGUUCUC
rnacentral:misc_RNA from 1 species